AGUUAAUGAGCUUGAACAAGCAUAUGUUUUGAAAACAUAAGAUAGAAAUCAACCUUUCUAUUGACUUU
rnacentral:tRNA from 1 species